rnacentral:lncRNA from 13 species
GUCGGGUCUCUAAUGAACCUCACUGUUAUUAUUUUUGCCCUAGCUUCUUCUUCUUUAAAGUUUUAUCGAAGACUACACGUAUUAUUGUAAUGCCGCCACCUACUGUACGGGUCUUCUUCGAUAUGACUGCGAUCCACAAGCAAAUGCUUAUGGGCAUGCUGCCACCUACUGUUUUGGCUGUAUAUCAGACCAAAUAAUUAACAAAAUAAACAAAAUAAAAAAACUCAAUGUACUCCUUUAUUCAGAUUCAACUGCCAACGCCCAUCCCUACAAACUCUGGGGCCCGAGAAGGAAGAGCAUCUUUGGACAGCAUUCUUUGCAAUGUUUUGGCAGUGAAUUCCUGGAAUCACAAAAACCUUUCAGCCGCAGAUACUAUUAUGUCCAGUGUUCCUCAACUGUUGAACAACACUCAGAAUCUCCAGUCUGCAGAGCAUCCUCUGCCAUAUCUUCAGCUACCCUCGCCCCUUCAACAAUUUCACAUGCCUCCGUGUCCAGCCAGGUCACACGUGAUACAAGUCGGCAUCCAUCCAUGUGUGAGGACGUUAGGAGAUGAUCUGGGAAAACCGACACUAGGGGCAAUGGAGAUGGCGUAAGUAUCUGCCUCUGAUUCUAACGUUUGAAUCCAGCAAUAGAAUGUUGUUUUAUAGAUCCCAAAUCUUAAAACUUACCUUAACCAUUCUGAGUUAAUGCCAAACUUAACCCUAACAUAAAACAUUUGGAGUUAGUGCCUUAACUUAACCUUAUACACUUCGUAAUGUGACGUUUGCAAUAACUUCUAAAUGUGAUGUUUAAGAAACAUGGAUGAACGUCUAAUUCUGAUGUGAGACUGCAAGAGCUAGUUGCCAGGCCAGCAGCCUAAGGAGGACGGGACACUAUCAUUCAAAACAUCUUGGAACUCUUCUGCGAUCUCGUACAACCAAGUACUUCUCUCCAGCUGCCACCACAACAUCUAUCCUCUGUGAUUUACGUUCCAUAUCCUGCGGUACAAAUGACAACCAUGGCCAUGAACACCCAAAAAAGCAACCUUAAGCACAUUUUAUUCCUAUCACUCUCUAUUGGUCUCAGCCUACUCACAGGGCUCCUCUUAGGAUCUCUCACCCUGGACCCAUCGUCCUCUACUACUCUCUUCACCGGCUCAGCAUAUGACAUCUUCUGCACUACUCUUAUCCUGGCAACCUCAACCUGCCUUUCUUUCACCAGACACCUCUGAUCUCCAGCACCAUGGGCACCCCUACAGUUUACAUACACAACUUUUUUCAGAUAUACUACACAUUCCUUUGUCUCAUGUCCUCCGGCACACUUCUCACAUCUCCCUCCUACAAGCCGGCUGCCACAUGACAAAUAAGCUUGACACCUAAAACACUGUAAUGGAUUCGGGAAGCUCUCACGGGAUAACUGACACAUCCUAACUUGAUUUUAUCUGGUAAAAACUCUGCAUCAAAACACAGUAGUGCAGACCAUGUCUUCUCUGUUUCACCACGCUCUCCACUGGGUCUGCGUCACAUCAAACGGCAGGCAUCAGACACACCAACAACCUUCAACUUCAAUUGGCCCCCCUUAACAACAUUCCAUUUAUCACUCCUUUCAACUGCUCCCUGCUCCGGAGAGGAAAGCAAGUCACGGUUCUUGUCCCCAGUCGUGGUGCGGAGUGCAUGCUCCCUUUGGACCGAAGAAAGACAAAAAUCCACACGAUUCCACUUUGAGUCACUUUCACCGACCCAACCUGACACCACAUAUGGAUCAGCCAGAAUGCAAGAAUCCAUUCUCUCCAAAAAUCACACUCCCACAGGACAAAAAAACAUCUUUAUCACCAUCGGGACGAGGCUCAAACUCUGCGGUCUUCACCACACCUGCCACCGCAAUUCAUUCAUCCUCACACUUAUCAUGUUCAAUUUCCUUCUGCAGCACUCCAUAUUUACUCUUAAUAUGUCCACUUUCUUCCAUUUUUUUCCUGUCUACGUUCUUACUGACCUCAAUAGGUUCCCCUAACUCCAUCUCCAAGUCUGGGAACCAUUCGGGCAUACUCGCUAUCUUGUGCUAAACCUGUUGUUGACUUGCCGGUCAAGGAAAGAUUAGUAACCGGAAAACGGCUAUGUUAUAGAACAUGAUAUGAACCUAUCGAAACUGCUGAUAGCCGUGGGAAACACUCCCAAAUAUCAAUCAACCCUAAACCACCAGUGUUAUUAUACUGUAACUGUAGCAAUGUAAGAAGACAAGACAGUCAGAAAAUGAUAAUUUACAAUAAACAGCAGCUAGCUUAUGAUUCUUAAAAAAAGAAUGUGUCACUUUUAUUCUCCUCUUACCAUAGUUUUUGCACAGCACAGCGCUGACUGGAAGAAAAUAUUAUUAGUUAGUGCAGUGUCUCCUGUAUGAAUAACUGUUACUUGUCACAAAAACAAUAACAGUGGACUUGAUCUAUGAUGACAUAUACACUACUACAGACAAUUCAACUCAAAUCGUGAAAUAUAAGCCUCUGAUGUCUUGGCUAAUGUAUUCAUGAUAUAUAAUUAUAAAUAUCCAGUUUUGUUUUGGGAUGAUCACGUAAUUCACGUUUAAUGGGAGGAAAAAAGACACCAGUGGUAGGGCCAUCACAAAAAAAUAUGUAAAUGCAGGCUAUAUUUGGGUGAUGAAAUCUUUAUCUUUCGGCCAGAAACAGAUGUAUCUCGAUUAAGAAAGCUAAAUCAAAAUACUUACUAAGCUCCAUCUUUGACUCUGCUGGUGAUCCUUCAAAAUUUGGGAAAACAUUAAAUGCACUGAAGCAUACAAAUUCCUAAGCAAGUUCUUUCUCUCUGGCAUCUGGCAAGGUUUGGAAGGCGGUCCAUGUACUCCCCCUUCACAAAGGUGAUGACCCUUGUGGCCUAAAUAAUUAUUGCCCUAUUUCUAAACUUUCUUGAGGAGCUAAAAUAUUACACUCAACAAAAAUAUAAACGGAACAUGUAACAAUUUCAAAGAUUUUACUGAGUUACAGUUCAUAUAAGGAAAUCAGUCAAUUAAAAUAAAUAAAUUAGGCCAUAAUAUGUUGAUUUCACAUGAUAGGGAAUACAGAUAUGCAUCUGUUUGUCACAGGUUCCUUAAAAAAAUUUAUGGGCGUGGAUCAGAAAACCAGUUAGUAUCUGGUGUGACCAUCAUUUCCCUCAUCUCCUUCGCAUAGAGUUGAUCAGACUGUUGAUUGUGGCCUGUGGAAUGUUGUCCCACUCGUCAAUGGCUGUGAGAAGUUGCUGGAUAUUGGCGGGAACUGGAACGCUGUCGUACACUUCGAUCCAGAGCAUCCCAAACAUGCCCAAUGGGUGACGUCUGGUGAGUAUGCAGGCAUUGGAAAAACUGGGCUAUUUUCAGCUUCCAGGAAUUGUGCACAGAUCCUUGCAACAUGGGGCCAUGCAUUAUCAUGCUGAAACAUGAGGUGAUGGAGGUGGAUGAAUGGCCCAAUAAUGGGCCUCAGGAUCUCGUCACGGUAUCUCUGUGUAUUCAAAUUGCCAUCGAUAAAACUGCAGUCAGGUCAAGAUCCUGUUGAGGACGACAAGCACGCAGAUGAGAUUCCCUGAGAAGGUUUGACAGUUUUUGCAGAAAUUAUUUUGUUGUGCAAACCCACAGUUUCAUCUGCUGUCCGGCUGGCUGGUCUCAGACGAUCCCACAGGUGAAGAAGCCAGAUGUUAAUGUCCUGGGCUGGCGUGGGUACACAUGGUCUGUGGUUGUGAGGCCGGUUGGACGUACUGACAAAUUCUCUAAAUCGACAUUGGAGGCGGCUUAUGGUAGAGAUGAACAUUACAUUCUCUGGCAACAGCUCUGGUGGACAUUCCUGCAGUCAGCAUGCCAAAUGCCGAAUGCAAACAAAAUUGUGCACAGAAUUUGAGAGAAAAGCUUUUUGUGCGCAUGGAAAAUUUAUAUUAUGUUUUAUUUCAGCUCAUGAUACAUAUUGGACCAACACCUUGUUGACCACAUCCCACUUCUGACACCAAUGUAUUGAAACAGGCAGGGAGCAGGUCUCAAACCCUCGACCUUCUAGCCCGAAGUCCAGCGCGCUAUCGACUGUGCCACAAAAGCAUGCUCAAGCGGCAGAGUCGAUUUCCACGCUUAUAAACCCAUGGUCGCUACAAUAUGUUGUGUUUAUAUUUUUGUUCAGUAUAUAAUCAUUGAUUCAUUCUCAGCUAAGAUCUUUAUUUUCUUUGAAAGGUAUUCUACGUGUACAUCAGUCGGGUUUUAGACAAUGCUAUAGUACUAUCUCUGCUCCAUCCCUAUUUUUAAAUGAUGUGGUUGAAUUAGGAGUGAGUGAUCAAUAGCAUCGAAGGCCUUUGAAAGGUCAAUGAAGAGGGCAGCUCAAUGUUGCUUUUUAUCCAUACAAUUAGUCUUUCCUCAAUUGGCCCUAGACCAGGCUGCAUGUAACUGGUUUAACAAUGACUUUACAGAUACAAAUGUAGUUCUAUCUACUGAUGUUUGUUAAAUCAGGUUUCCUGGAUAUUACGAGUGGGGUCCCGCAGGGGUCGAUUCUGGGUCCUGUACUCUUUACUGUUUACAUUAACAAUAUUGACUUGCUUGUAAAAAAUUGUACCCUGCACUUGUAUGCCAAUGAUACUGCUGUGUAUGCUAUUGCACCCAUGAUUGAGCAGGCUCUAUCUGAACUUCAGUCUGCCUUCAUUGUAUUGCAUAAAUACUUUUUUGACCUGAAAUUAGUAAGGAAUGCAGGUAAAACUAAGCAUGUUGUUUUCUAGAGAGUAUAAAAAUAACUCUAAUGAUUUAAGCAUAUGUACUUGGAUGGUGUCCAUAUUGAUUGUGUCCCUGCUUACAAAUAUAUGGGCACCUGGACAGAUGAAAAGUGGUCUUUAAUUUGUUUUAUUUCUGAGUUAAGAAGCUGAGAAUAAAAAUGGGCUUCUUCUACAGAAAUAGGUCAUGCCUCUCGCUAAACUGCGUGUGUCUCAGGGGUAGUC